rnacentral:rRNA from 1 species
CCUACGGGAGGCAGCAGUGGGGAAUAUUGCACAAUGGGGGAAACCCUGAUGCAGCGACGCCGCGUGAAGGAAGAAGUAUUUCGGUAUGUAAACUUCUAUCAGCAGGGAAGAAAAUGACGGUACCUGACUAAUAAUCCCCGGCUAACUCCGUGCCAGCCGCCGCGGUCAUACGGAGGGGGCAAGCGUUAUCCGGAUUUACUGGGUGUAAAGGGAGCGUAGGCGGUUUAGCAAGUCAGACGUGAAAGCCCCGGGCUCAACGCCGGGACUGCUUUUGAAACUGUUGAACUAGAGUGCAGGAGAGGAAAGUGGAAUUCCUGGUGUAGCGGUGAAAUGCGUAGAUAUUAGGAGGAACACCAGUGGCGAAGGCGACUAACUGGAAUGUAAAUGACGCUGAGGCUCGAAAGCGUGGGGAGCAAACAGGAUUAGAUACCCCUGUAGUC